CUGUCUCAGAUUAGCCAUGCAUGUCUCAGUAUAAGCUUCUAUACGGCGAAACUGCGAAUGGCUCAUUAAAACAGUUAUAGUUUAUUUGGUGGUCAGCAAUUACAUGGAUAACCGUGGUAAUUCUAGAGCUAAUACAUGCGCCCAAACCCGACUUCGUGGAAGGGUUGUGUUUAUUAGAUACAGAACCAACCCAGGCUCCGCCUGGCCUUGAGGUGAUUCAUAAUAACCGAACGAAUCGCAUGGCUAUGCCGGCGAUAGACCAUUCAAGUUUCUGACCUAUCAGCUAUCGUCGGUAGGGUAUUGGCCUACCGUGGCAAUGACGGGUAACGGAGAAUUAGGGUUCGAUUCCGGAGAGGGAGCCUGAGAAACGGCUACCACAUCUAAGGAAGGCAGCAGGCGCGCAAAUUACCCAAUCCUGACGCAGGGAGGUAGUGACAAGAAAUAACAAUACAGGGCAUACAUGUCUUGUAAUUGGAAUGAGUAAACUUUAAAUCACUUUA
rnacentral:rRNA from 1 species